rnacentral:rRNA from 1 species
CCUACGGGUGGCAGCAGUGGGGAAUAUUGGACAAUGGGUGGAACCCUGAUCCAGCCAUGCCGCGUGUGUGAAGAAGGCCCUCGGGUUGUAAAGCACUUUCAGUGAGGAAGAACGCCUGGUGGUUAAUACCCAUCAGGAAAGACAUCACUCACAGAAGAAGCACCGGCUAACUCCGUGCCAGCAGCCGCGGUAAUACGGAGGGUGCGAGCGUUAAUCGGAAUUACUGGGCGUAAAGCGCGCGUAGGUGGCUUGAUAAGCCGGUUGUGAAAGCCCCGGGCUCAACCUGGGAACGGCAUCCGGAACUGUCAAGCUAGAGUGCAGGAGAGGAAGGUAGAAUUCCCGGUGUAGCGGUGAAAUGCGUAGAGAUCGGGAGGAAUACCAGUGGCGAAGGCGGCCUUCUGGACUGACACUGACACUGAGGUGCGAAAGCGUGGGUAGCAAACAGGAUUAGAUACCCUGGUAGUC